rnacentral:rRNA from 1 species
CAGCAGCCGCGGGAAAACGAAGGGGGCUAGCGUUGUUCGGAAUUACUGGGCGUAAAGGGUGCGUAGGCGGGAUCUUAAGUCAGGGGUGAAAUCCCGAGACUCAACCUCGGAACUGCCUUUGAUACUGGGGUCCUUGAGUCCGGAAGAGGUGAGUGGAACUGCGAGUGUAGAGGUGAAAUUCGUAGAUAUUCGCAAGAACACCGGUGGCGAAGGCGGCUCACUGGUCCGGAACUGAUGCUGAGGCACGACAGCGUGGGGAGCAAACAGGAUUAGAGACCCGAGUAGUCCCUGUCUCUUAUAC